rnacentral:rRNA from 1 species
UACAGAGGUCUCAAGCGUUGUUCGGAUUCAUUGGGCGUAAAGGGUGCGUAGGCGGCGCGGUAAGUCGGGUGUGAAAUCUCGGAGCUUAACUCCGAAACUGCAUUCGAUACUGCCGUGCUUGAGGACUGGAGAGGAGACUGGAAUUUACGGUGUAGCGGUGAAAUGCGUAGAUAUCGGGAGGAACACCUGUGGCGAAAGCGGCUCACUGGACAGCAACUGACGCUGAUGCGCGAAAGCUAGGGGAGCAAACAGG